CCAGACUCCUACGGGAGGCAGCAGUGGGGGAUAUUGCACAAUGGGGGGAACCCUGAUGCAGCGACGCCGCGUGGGUGAAGGAGCGUUUCGGCGCGUAAAGCCCUAUCGGCAGGGAAGAAGGAGGACGGUACCUGACUAAGAAGCCCCGGCUAACUACGUGCCAGCAGCCGCGGUAAUACGUAGGUGGCGAGCGUUAUCCGGAAUUACUGGGUGUAAAGGGAGCGUAGGCGGGGGAACAAGUUGAAUGUUUAAGAUAUGGGCUCAACUCAUAUAAGCGUUCAAAACUGUUUUUCUUGAGUGAAGUAGAGGUAAGCGGAAUUCCUAGUGUAGCGGUGGAAUGCGUAAAUAUUAGGAGGAACACCAGUGGCGAAGGCGGCUUACUGGGCUUUAACUGACGCUGAGGCUCGAAAGCGUGGGGAGCAAACAGGAUUAGAUACCCGAGUA
rnacentral:rRNA from 1 species